rnacentral:rRNA from 1 species
AGCAGUAGCCGCGGGAAUACGAAGGGGGCUAGCGUUGCUCGGAAUGACUGGGCAUAAAAGGCGCGUAGGCGGUUUGUACAGUUGGGCGUGAAAUUCCUGGGCUCAACCUGGGGGCUGCGCUUGAUACUUGGUUGCUUGAGUGGGGAAGAGGGUCGUGGAAUUCCCAGUGUGGAGGUGAAAUUCGUAGAUAUUGGGAAGAGCACCGGUGGCGAAGGCGGCGACCUGGUCCUUGACUGACGCUGAGGCGCGAAAGCGUGGGGAGCAAACAGGAUUAGAUACCCCCGUAGUCCCUGUCUCUUAUAC